GUGCAUAGAGCAGGACAAGCCGCAGCACAAGCCGUAGCUCGCCGUCGACGCCGGACGGACAGUGCAGAUAGUUCUCGCGAAAACGACGCGAAGAUACUUCGCCGCGAAGACGCUGUUGUGCGUGGUGCCGAAAAUGUUCUCCGGCAAAGUUGAAGCGACGUAAGCAGCUGGAGAGGUCCUAUGACAACGGCAACAAGAAGAAUGGUCAGCUCCUUUGCACGAGGUUGCGGCUUCGGUUCCUGGCCGUCGUGGGUGAAUUCCGGUGCAGGUUUCAUGUCAAUCUGUUUCUGCAUAAUACGUUUUCGUCUCGCGAUAAAGAAAUGCACUACUGGUCAAAA